CCCUUAGAUGUUCGGGGCCGCACGCGCGCUACACUGAAGGAAUCAGCACGUCUUUCUCCUUGUCCGAAAGGACUGGGUAACCCGCUGAACCUCCUUCGUGCUAGGGAUUGGGGCUUGUAAUUCUUCCCCAUGAACGAGGAAUUCCCAGUAAGCGCGAGUCAUAAGCUCGCGUUGAUUACGUCCCUGCCCUUUGUACACACCGCCCGUCGCUACUACCGAUUGGACGGUUUAGCGAGGCCCUCGGAUCGGUACCAGGAUUCUUAACCGAGUCACUGGCAACCGAGAAGGCGGUCGAACUUGACCGUCUAGAGGAAGUAAAAGUCGUAACA
rnacentral:rRNA from 1 species